rnacentral:rRNA from 1 species
UACCCGUAGAGUGGGGGGAUAACUAACCCGAAAGGUUAGCUAAUACCGCAUGAAACGUGCUGUGGCAUCACAGAACGUUAAAAGGAAGCAAUCCGCUUUAUGACGGGCCCGCGUCCGAUUAGCUAGUUGGUGGGGUAACGGCCUACCAAGGCUCCGAUCGGUAGCUGGUUUGAGAGAGCGACCAGCCACACUGGGACUGAGAACGGCCCAG